UCAACAGCUUCUUUGUCAUGUGUGGUUCCAGCAUCGAUGGUGACGGUGACGUAUCACACUGGACCACUGACAUCCUGAUGACACCUGACAGUGACCAGGAGCUGCUUUAUUAACAGGCUCCCUCAGUCCACUUCAUCCACCCACACUGAAGCAUUCUCACUGUAUUAUCAUGGCGUUGUCACCGUUCUCGUCCAUGACCUGACGGGUAGGAGCCGGCGCUCUGCGGCUUCCACUGCUGCUGCUGAAGAGCAUCAGAGAGGGACGAGAGGCCUUCGCAGGAGGAGGUCCCAGAGAGGAAGAGGAGUGGGAGGAAGAGGAAGAGGGGAAGGGAGCCACAGUGGCCCUGACCUUGCUGUUUGUUCCCUGUUGGCGACCCUGGUUCUGUGGCUGAGAAGACAAGACAGAUAACGUCUUAUAAGGAAAAAUAGAGAUAAAGAGGAGGAGGCGGGGGACAUGGGCAGGAUAACAGAAAACAAAGUAAAGAGAGCUUAGGGUGAGUUUAAGAGCAGUGGAUGAUAAGAGAGCGUGCCAAAGUACAAACAGAACAUCAGCAGAGCUGUAAUGAACUAUUUGCAUGUAAAGUCCUGAUAGGUCAAACUGACAACAGCUACACAGAUUCACAGCUUAUAGGCCGCAGUUCACGUAACAAAAUGACAGUGAAGGAUGAAAUGAUGCAACUUAUUAAAGUGAGACAGCCUGAAAAAAAUGACAAACUACAUGUUGAGACCUUUGCAUGAAGGGCCGCUCUUAUUACAGCUGGUUUGAUUUCUAAAUGUCAAGAUUCUGAACACGUCUUUCUUUAAGGUCACUUCCAAACUCGUCCCAGAGCACCACACAAUAACAAUAACUGAUUCAUUUCACUCCUACUUAAGUUCCUGUUGAGCCACUGUUUGUGUUAAUGCAGUCUGUCUGUCAGAAUCACUUCCACUCUCCUGCACAUCAUAUUGACAGUCAUGUUUCUGCUUGUGUCAGUGGAUUUAUGUUUUGUAUGCCAAAUGGUAAGUGCUGCCAUCUAUCGGGUUGACUUAGAAUUGAGGGUGAAGAGGAAGUUCCUUUACUGCUGCACUCACUCUCUGCACACAACCCUAACAAGGUUCAUAAAGAUAUUCCUCCUCCU